rnacentral:rRNA from 2 species
UGAAGAAGGGUUUCGGCUCGUAAAGCUCUGUUGUUGGAGAAGAACGUGCGUGAGAGUAACUGUUCACGCAGUGACGGUAUCCAACCAGAAAGUCACGGCUAACUACGUGCCAGCAGCCGCGGUAAUACGUAGGUGGCAAGCGUUAUCCGGAUUUAUUGGGCGUAAAGCGAGCGCAGGCGGUUGCUUAGGUCUGAUGUGAAAGCCUUCGGCUUAACCGAAGAAGUGCAUCGGAAACCGGGCGACUUGAGUGCAGAAGAGGACAGUGGAACUCCAUGUGUAGCGGUGGAAUGCGUAGAUAUAUGGAAGAACACCAGUGGCGAAGGCGGCUGUCUGGUCUGCAACUGACGCUGAGGCUCGAAAGCAUGGGUAGCGAACAGGAUUAGAUACCCUGGUAGUCCAUGCCGUAAACGAUGAGUGCUAGGUGUUGGAGGGUUUCCGCCCUUCAGUGCCGGAGCUAACGCAUUAAGCACUCCGCCUGGGGAGUACGACCGCAAGGUUGAAACUCAAAGGAAUUGACGGGGGCCCGCACAAGCGGUGGAGCAUGUGGUUUAAUUCGAAGCUACGCGAAGAACCUUACCAGGUCUUGACAUCUUGCGCUAACCUUAGAGAUAAGGCGUUCCCUUCAGGGACGCAAUGACAGGUGGUGCAUGGUCGUCGUCAGCUCGUGUCGUGAGAUGUUGGGUUAAGUCCCGCAACGAGCGCAACCCUUGUUACUAGUUGCC